UACGAAGGGGGCUAGCGUUGCUCGGAAUUACUGGGCGUAAAGCGCACGUAGGCGGCUUUCUAAGUCGGGGGUGAAAUCCUGGAGCUCAACUCCAGAACUGCCUUCGAUACUGGAGAGCUCGAGUCCGGGAGAGGUGAGUGGAACUGCGAGUGUAGAGGUGAAAUUCGUAGAUAAUUCGGAAGAACACCGGUGGCGAAGGCGACCUUCUGGGCCGUUUCUGACGCUGAGGUACGAAGGGCGUGGGGAGCAAACAGG
rnacentral:rRNA from 1 species